UUUAGGAGGGUAGAUGCCCGGUGUUCACCGUGCAGUGAGACGCAACCCUGACGCAACCUGUCAGUAAAAUAUAGCGUUGAAGAAGGACACAAGGUUUUCCCUAUGUUGUCCUUUUUCGUGCGCAUAUUUUUUUAAGCUGGUUGCUUACACCUUGUUCGUCCAGCUUUAAAAAAUAAUCGAAUGGUGUUCUACUCUACCCUCUUAUUUUU
rnacentral:telomerase_RNA from 1 species